GACGCUAUGGAACGGGGCUCGACCUGUUCUCCGGGCUGCGGGAGCUGUUGGCUGCGGCUCGCCCCCCCCGUAGCCACGGUGCCGAGGGCCGUACGCCGAGCGCAGCCGCCCCAGGGGCCAGGCCUGGGGAACAGGCGUGUCCCCGGGGACCGAUCCGGCCGAGGGGGCGGGGUGCCUGGAUUCCCCUAGCCAAGCGCUGGGGCAGAUCACGAGACUGGCCCCAGGUUCUUGGGGGUUUGCAAGGGACACCCGUCGGGGUGACCCGAGAUCAAGCUGCAGCGUUAUGUCCACACUGUAAAAUGCUGCUGGGUGGUGCGGAGUCUCCAGCUUGAACCCGGCCCUAAAUAAUUCGAAUGAGUUAACCCUGGUGCCCCAGGUCUGCCCAGCCGGGAGUUGUACAACGCAUCCCAGUGACGCGUGUGGCCCUCACUGCUCUCCGACUUCUUCUGCAGUUCUAGUGCUUCUCCACAUCCCCUUCUGGGUCUGAAAUGGGGGGCAGAUCCUGGGGCUCUUCUCCCCUUUCCCAGACCUAGAUUGCAGGGGUGAAGAUGGAGCGCAUCGAGCCGACCAACCAGUUUAUUACAGAUUUUUCCUGGAAGUAUUGCUUGAAGGAUGUGAAAUUGCCUCAGGAAAGUGGAGAUGGCUCAGACAAAAUUCUGGAUACUCUAUAGUAAUCGUAAUCCAUUUAGAAACUCUUAAGGGAAAUGAAGCCAAUAAGAAAAUCAGAAGUUGCAAGCAUCAAGAGAGAUUUUCUAUCCAGAGCAAUUAAGGUUUGCUCAGCAGGUGCUCUCCCACCAGAUCCCCAGACCUAAAGAGAGCCUUCGGCAGGAUCUCAGGGAAGUGGGAAACACUGCCAUACAGGGAGCUACCUCACCACUCCCCCUUUUCUUCAUGGGAAAUGGAGAUUUUUAUACAGAAGGUAAUUAUUAGGUCCUAAGAUGUUCCAGAGCUACUUGGGCUCCCCCUGCUGGCAGAUUGCUGUGAGGGGACUCUACAACCCUGUGGUAGCAUCUGUAACAGGACAGCCUGCACAAGCCUACCUGCUUCUGAAGGUCCCUCCCCCAGCCUUGUGGGAGGGACCACUGGACUGGGAACCAACUGAAUACGUGGGACAACUAACGAAUAACAGGGUUAGGAGUGAAGGUCACAGGUUCUAAGACUGGGGAUACCAAGCAGAGAAUCUGGAGGGCGCCCACUGCUCCUGAAAGCUAUCUAGGGAGCCAGCAGAUGUCACCCAGAGGAACUCUACCUGGAUGCGUGAGACCAGAGAGGAGAGGAAAUAGGUUCCACUGUUGCAGAGCACCUGCCUUAUUGGAAAUCCAGCCUUGUGAGCAGGACCACUGGACCCGGGAACAACUAAGGAAUAACAGAGUCAAUAGUGAAGGUCACAGGUUCAAAACUAGGGAUCCAGAGGGGGAUACCGAGCAGAGAACCCCAGAGAGCGCCCAUUGCUCAUCAAAGUUGUCUAGAGAGCCAGCGGACGCUGCCCAGAGGAAUUCUGUCAAUAUGCGUGAGACCAGGGAGGAGCGGAAAUAGGUCCCACAGUCGCAGAGCACUUGCCCUGUUACAGGACUGGGAGAUCUUGGGCUAGUCUGCCCUAUUUAAUUAGCACUACCUUUGUGAUAAUUAGCUGCUUCCCAGCCUGAGGGGGGGGAUGGCAUGAAUGGGGUCAAGUGUUAGCCUGAUGAACACCUGGACUGCAUUAAAAGGACUGAGUCUGAGAGAAGGGAAGAGGAACUACAGUAAGCUGGUUAGGUGCUAUGGGAGGCCCCAGAGAUAGUGUUUGCAAGAAACAGGGAGGUCCCUGGAGGAAGCUUCUGGAGACUCCUGGGAGGGAAGGCAGUCAGACCUUGCUAAUAAAGGGUUGUCAGGGAGAAAGCCCUAGGAGGAAGUGCUCAGCUAGAAAAGCAAAGAAGAAGUAUGCAGAGAACUGGAGUAGGGGCAAAGAGCAGGGAACUUCAGUGAGUCGUAGACUGUGAGAGGGGCUCUAGGGAAAGCAGCCUGGAAGUCAGUGCUCUGUAUCAGAGCAGGGAAGAAAUUAAAGGUAGCCCAGAAGGGGCUGAGAACCAAUCCCAGAGGAUAAGCUGAUGUAGCUCACAAGGGGCAGAAUAACUGUUUAGAUGUUCUCUUUGGACUUUUGUUACACUGAAAGGGGACUAAAUUUGGAAGGUGACCUGACUGGAGGCCUGGGACCUGGAAGCUGCUGUAAAAUCAGCAUGGCAAAUAGCAGUCCUGAUUAUAAGAACUCCUGCAACACCAUGUCCUGGCUUGAGGGGUUCUGUGGUGGUGAGUUCUGCUGUAUUCCAGGGUGAUGCUCUGUACCUCGGGGAACCCCCUGAACCCUCAUGUUCAUCCUUAUAAUAUGAUUGUGUGGUAUGCAAUGCAAAGUUUGUCAUGUUGGGUAUCUUCAGAAGGUUCA